rnacentral:rRNA from 1 species
AACGAACGCUGGCGGCAGGCUUAACACAUGCAAGUCGAACGCCCCGCAAGGGGAGUGGCAGACGGGUGAGUAACGCGUGGGAACGUGCCCUUCGCUUCGGAAUAGCCUCGGGAAACUGGGAGUAAUACCGAAUACGCCGUAUUGGGAAAGAUUUAUCGGCGAAGGAUCGGCCCGCGUUAGAUUAGCUAGUUGGCGGUGUAAUGGACCACCAAGGCUACGAUCUAUAGCUGGUCUGAGAGGAUGAUCAGCCACACUGGGACUGAGACACGGCCCAGACUCCUACAGGAGGCAGCAGUGGGGAAUCUUGGACAAUGGGCGCAAGCCUGAUCCAGCCAUGCCGCGUGAGUGAAGAAGGCCUUAGGGUUGUAAAACUCUUUCGCCGGAGAAGAUAAUGACGGUAUCCGGAGAAGAAGCCCCGGCUAACUUCGUGCCAGCCGCCGCAGUAACAC